GGCUUCGUGGCCUAAUGGCUAGGGCGCUAGAUUUCGGUUAUCCAAAUAUCUGAUCCUCUAGAGAUUGUCGGUUCGAGUCCGGCCGAAGUCG